rnacentral:sRNA from 1 species
GCAGAGAGCCCCCGUCUUUACUUCCAGUCAUGUUCUGUGGAAUGGGCGGCUUCUCCGACUUCUACAAGCUCCGGUGGCUGGAGGCCAUUCUCAGCUGGCAGAAACAGCAGGAAGGAUGCUUCGGGGAGCCUGAUGCUGAAGAUGAAAAAUUAUCUAAAGCUAUUCAAUAUCAGCAGCAUUUUUCGAGGAGAGUGAAGAGGCGAGAAAAACAAUUUUCAGAUGGCUGCUCCUCCCACAACACAGCCACAGCAGUGGCAGCCCUGGGUGGCUUCCUGUACAUCCUGGCAGAAUACCCCCCAGCAAACAGAGAGCCACACCCAUCCACACCGCCACCACCAAGCAGCCGCUGAGACAGAUGGUUCCACGCCUGCUACCUGGAGGAGGAACAGACCCCUUUAGUCCUCAUCCCUUACAUCCUGGAGGGCACGGAUCACAUCCUGGGAAGAAGGCAUCUGGAGGAUAAGCAAAGCCACCCCGACACCCCAUCUUGGAAGCCCUGAGUAGGCAGGGCCAGGGUAGGUGGGGGCCGGGAGGGACCCAGGUGUGAACGGAUGAAUAAAAUUCAACUGCAACUGA